CUCUGUUGCUCCAAAUGCCAGUCUGACAGGAACUUAGGGAUUCUCAUCUCUUCAGGACUUUGCACCUCCCAACUUCUGCGACCCUUGACCCCUGGGUUCAGAGCUACCAGUGCUCUCUCUUCUGCAGCUGGUCAGAUGGCCCCAGGGCACCCGGAGAAUGCACCGGAAACCUGGGAGUGGGACAGCAGCUUCCCCCAGCACAGAGCUGAGCAGAGGCUGACUCUGACCUGAAGUCCGCGCCCCUUUCAGCACUCUGGGAGCUAUUACCACCUGUCCAUCAGCGGCACCAAGGAGCCAGGAGUGAUGACCUGGACAGUUCAGACUGUGGGAAGAGGUCCCCGCUUUGAUGUGAGCCACAAGGUACCUACUAGGCCUGAUCGCACACCAGCAGUUGCAAGGAAGUCACCAUCUAGAGAGGACCUCCACCCUCACUGAUGGAGAGAGAGUCCCAGUUAUCAUGUGUCUGUUCCCAAGCAAGAUGUGGAGUGAAGGACACGUCUCUAACAAAUACAAGAAAAAUCACCACCAUCCUCAACAGCAUCCAUCAUCGUUGUCACCAUCCCCCUACUCAGCAUCAGGAGCAGCAGCAUCACCAUCAUCACCGUCAUCAGCAGCAGCCACAGCACCAGUCUGAACAUGACUGGGUACCACAUAGAGCUCAGCACUCCCUUGUCCCCUUCUGUCUGACAGUCUGGUGCCAGGAAUUGAGAUUAGUGUAAUAUGUUAAUGGAAGACCUAAGUGAUAGUAUAGGGCAUAUAGAAGAGAUGAUGCUAGCCUAAUUUGGGUUAUGAUGGGCUGGAACAAAAGAGAUAUUCAAGUCUCUGAAAGGACAUUAAGGUCCUACCUCGUGACUUUAUCAAUCCCUAGUCAGAUAGCACAAGAACCACGGCACUCCUGGUUUUGACUACCACUGUUCAAUGACAUGAGGUUACGUCUUGGCUGCAAUAUCAAGGCAACGUGGCCCUUUCUCUUUUAUACAUCUUUCUUCUUUUCUGUGCAUCCUUUCUCCUAAUGCAUCCAGCCAGAGGGGAAAGGACAGUGCCUCUCCAGGAAGCCUCCCUAUGCACUGUGUUUUGCCAUAGAAUGAUCCUCUCCAGAACACUUGAAGCCUAGAGCCCUUCUUUUUUUAAUGGGAACAAGAGACUCGUAAAUACCAAUGCCAGACUCCCUUGGAAGCUCCUGGCUCAGCUCUUGCCUCUGGGCUCCCAGCCAUAGGAGUGUCUCCCAAACUGCUCUCCCUCCUAGCGGGGCCUCCACAGGAUGACCUCUGGUUGUGCUGAGCACCCUAGGCCCUGGCCUGCCUGAGACUUCCUCCUGCUUGCGAUGCUGUGGAUUAGCAUCUCUGAGCUGACUAUAGCACACAAGUCCUUCUGAAACUUGGGUUCAGAGUUGCUUGUCCAGCAUUUGAGGGAAGGUCUAACAGCUAAGAUUUUGGAACACUCCUAGGGAGCCAUGAUUUUGAGCUGUGAGGAGGAAAACCAGGCGAUGUUCAGUUGUCAUCUUCCUGGAAGUGUGUGCUCUGACCUUCAGGUUCCUUUAUUCCUUAUGAGGCCUCUCAGGAUGCCAACCCCAUGAGUUCAAACCAGCUGUCCAGGAACCUCUCUCUCCCUCUCUAUCUCUAAAUGAGGGGGCUCCUGGCCCCUUUUCAUAUCUUCCUCUUUCUAGUCAACCUUGUCCUGUCUAGAGGUCAUGACAGAGACCUCCAGUUGAGGACUGUCCUGGGCUGAAGGAGUCUACCCCAUACUACCACAAAGAUCUGUCAAGAGAGCUUUUGGAAUUUUAAUUAUGAGGGCCAGAUGGCCUCAUGCUUUAGCCUCCCACCUACCCCCAAGCCUGGUUACAAGCUGACAUUAAAGGGAAGGGGGCAAGGAAGAAGAAACUGCUAACCUCUAACCUUCCCCUUGCCCCGCAUCUUCUUUCUCUUUUGGGGUUUGUAGGAGAAGGCUUCUGAGACUGCAGUGUGCCUGACCCCUGGGAGCUGAAGGAGGAGCAGUUUCUUCCCCCUGUGUUCAGCAGGUUAGCCUUGGAGCUGAGCCCGGAGGCUAGACGGCCGGCCGUUCUCCACCUUUGAUUUGAAGCAACGGAGUGGGAAUAAUUGAGAGGCCAGGGAGAGCCCUCGGGGCUGGUCAUGCUCAGGUUGUCUCUCGCAGGUGACCUGGACAAAACUUCCCUCUUCCCAGCCUUCCCACAGGGACAAGACAACACUGCCUUUGGCUGCUCUGAGAAGCAGCUGCAGAAAGGGGGAGCAUGGCAUGCUCAUCAGCAUUCCCACUUACACUGGAGGGGUCCUAGCAGGGCUUGGUGGCCCAGUGUUUUGACUUAAGUGCCUGGGAGGGGAUGCUGCCCUCAGUGAACCCAGGCUGAUGUAACAGAGCCACAG